UACGAAGGGUGCAAGCGUUACUCGGAAUUACUGGGCGUAAAGGGUGCGUAGGUGGUUUGUUAAGUCUGCUGUGAAAUCCCCGGGCUCAACCUGGGAAUGGCAGUGGAUACUGGCAAGCUAGAGUGCGGUAGAGGGUAGUGGAAUUCCCGGUGUAGCAGUGAAAUGCGUAGAGAUCGGGAGGAACACCAGUGGCGAAGGCGGCUACCUGGACCAGCACUGACACUGAAGCACGAAAGCGUGGGGAGCAAACAGG
rnacentral:rRNA from 2 species